rnacentral:pre_miRNA from 1 species
CAACUACUCCCAUCUGAAAAUACUUGUCAUAAAAAUGGAUGUAUCUAGAUGAUUUUAGUUCUAGAUACAUCUAUUUUUGUUUAUUUGUGUGACAAUUAAUUCCGGACGGAGGGAGUAUUUA